UCUAUCAUGUACCUGGUUGGGGGUUCCCAACGACUGGCAACUGUAAGUUCUAUUAUGUACCUUGUUAGGGGUUCCACACGACUGGCAACUGUAAGUUCUAUCAUGUACCUGGUUGGGGGUUCCCAACGACUGGCAACUGUAAGUUCUAUUAUGUACCUUGUUGGGGGUGCCACACGACUGGCAACUGUAAGUUCUAUCAUGUACCUGGUUGGGGGUUCCCAACGACUGGCAACUGUAAGUUCUAUUAUGUACCUUGUUAGGGGUUCCACAAGACUGGCAACUGUAAGUUCUAUCAUGUACCUUGUUGGGGGUUGCACACGACUGGCAACUGUAAGUUCUAUCAUGUACCUGGUUGGGGGUUCCACACGACUGGCAACUGUAAGUUCUAUCAUGUACCUGGGGCGGUUGGGUAGCCUAGUGGUUAAAGCGUUCGCUCGUCACGCCGAAGACCCGGGUUCGAUUCCCGACAUGGGUACAAUGUGUGAAGCCUAUUUCUGGUGUCCCCCGCCGUGAUAUUGCUGGAAUAUUGUUAAAAGCGGCGUAAAACCAUACUCACUCACUCACUCACUCACUAUCAUGUACCUGGUUUGGGGUUCCACACGACUGGCAACUGUAAGUUCUAUCAUGUACCUUGUUAGGGGUUCCACACGACUGGCAACUGUAAGUUCUAUCAUGUACCUUGUUAGGGGUUACACACGACUGGCAACUGUAAGUUCUAUUAUGUACCUUGUUGGGGGUUCCACACGACUGGCAACUGUAAGUUCUAUCACGUACCUGGUUGGGGGUUCCACACGACUGGCAACUGUAAGUUCUAUCAUGUACCUGGUUGGGGGUUCCCAACGACUGGCAACUGUAAGUUCUAUUAUGUACCUUGUUAGGGGUUCCACACGACUGGCAACUGUAAGUUCUAUCAUGUACCUGGUUGGGGGUUCCCAACGACUGGCAACUGUAAGUUCUAUUAUGUACCUUGUUGGGGGUUCCACACGACUGGCAACUGUAAGUUCUAUCAUGUACCUGGUUGGGGGUUCCCAACGACUGGCAACUGUAAGUUCUAUUAUGUACCUUGUUGGGGGUUCCACACGACUGGCAACUGUAAGUUCUAUCAUGUACCUGGUUGGGGGUUCCAAACGACUGGCAACUGUAAGUUCUAUCAUGUACCUGGUUGGGGGUUCCACACGACUGGCAACUGUAAGUUCUAUCAUGUACCUUGUUAGGGGUUCCACACGACUGGCAACUGUAAGUUCUAUCACGUACCUGGUUGGGGGUUCCAAACGACUGGCAACUGUAAGUUCUAUCAUGUACCUUGUUAGGGGUAACACACGACUGGCAACUGUAAGUUCUAUUACGUACCUUGUUGGGGGUUGCACACGACUGGCAACUGAAAGUUCUAUCACGUACCUGGUUGGGGGUUCCACACGACUGGCAACUGUAAGUUCUAUCAUGUACCUUGUUGGGGGUUACACACGACUGGCAACUGUAAGUUCUAUCAUGUACCUUGUUAGGGGUUACACACGACUGGCAACUGUAAGUUCUUUUAUGUACCUUGUUGGGGGUUACACACGACUGGCAACUGUAAGUUCUAUCAUGUACCUGGUUGGGGGUUUCCACACGACUGGCAACUUGUUAACCUGGGCCUUCUACUUUUUGGCAACCCACCAAGACAUCCAGGAGAAGGUAUUUAAGGAGGUUAUCAAAGUUCUGGGUCAAGACGACACAGUGGAGCAUCACAAUCUCAAUGACCUGAAGUAAGUGUAAGCAGACAAUCUCAAUGACCUGAAGUAAGUGUAAGCAGACAAUCUCAAUGACCUGAAGUAAGUGUAAGCAGACAAUCUCAAUAACCUGAAGUAAGUGUGAGCAGACAAUCUCAAUGACCUGAAGUAAGUGUGAGCCUACAAUCUCAAUGCCCUGAAGUAAGUGUGAGCCCAUAGUCUCAAUGACCUGAAGUAGAUGUGUGCACCACAAUCUCAAUGACCUGAAGUAAGUGUGAGCCCACAAUCUCAAUGACCUGAAGUAAGUGAGCCUACAAUCUCAAUGACCUGAAGUAAGUGUGAGCCCAUAGUCUCAAUGACCUGAAGUAGAUGUGUGCACCACAAUCUCAAUGACGUAAGUGUGAGCCCACCAUUUCAAUGACCUGAAGUAGAUGUGUGCACCACAAUUGCAAUGACGUGAGUAAGUGUGAGCCCACCAUCUCAAUUACCUGAAGUAGAUGUGUGCACCACAAUCUCAAUGACGUGAGUAAGUGUGAGCCCACCAUCUUAAUGACCUGAAGAAAGUGUAAGCCUACAAUAUCAAUGACCUGAAGAAAGUGUAAGCCUACAAUCUCAAUGACCUGAAGUAGGUGUGAGCCCACAAUCUCAAUGACCUGAAGUAUCUUCGACAGGUGAUUGACGAGACACUCAGAUGUGCUGUUGUCGCUCCCUGGGCUGCCAGGUUUCAAGACUUUGAUUCAGAAUUGGGAGGACACAAGAUUCCCAAAAAUACUCCCGUGAUCCAUGCC